UAUAUACUCCCUCCGUCCGAAAAUACUUGUCAUCAAAAUGGAUAAAAAGAGAUGUAUCUCGAACUAAAAUAUGUCUACAUGCAUCCCCUUUUAUUCAUUUUAAUGACAAGUAUUUCUGGACGGAGAGUACAAG
rfam:Triticum aestivum genome assembly, contig: Triticum_aestivum_CS42_TGACv1_scaffold_404830_5BL